rnacentral:rRNA from 1 species
GACGAACGCUGGCGGCGUGCUUAACACAUGCAAGUCGAGCGGUAAGGCCCUUUCGGGGGUACACGAGCGGCGAACGGGUGAGUAACACGUGGGUGACCUGCCCUUAGCUCUGGGAUAAGCCUGGGAAACUGGGUCUAAUACCGGAUAUGACUCCAUGACGCAUGUUGUGGGGUGGAAAGCCUUGUGCGGCUAGGGAUGGGCCCGCGGCCUAUCAGCUUGUUGGUGGGGUGAUGGCCUACCAAGGCGACGACGGGUAGCCGGCCUGAGAGGGCGACCGGCCACACUGGGACUGAGAUACGGCCCAGACUCCUACGGGAGGCAGCAGUGGGGGAUAUUGCGCUAAUGCGCGAAAGCGUGACGCAGCGACGCCGCGUGGGGAUGAAGGCCCUCGGGUCGUAAACCCC